UGGGACCCGAAAGAUGGUGAACUAUGCCUGAAUAGGGUGAAGCCAGAGGAAACUCUGGUGGAAGCUCGUAGCGGUUCUGACGUGCAAAUCGAUCGUCAAAUUUGGGUAUAGGGGCGAAAGACUAAUCGAACCAUCUAGUAGCUGGUUCCCUCCGAAGUUUCCCUCAGGAUAGCUGGAGCCCGAACUAUGUGUGUAGUUUUAUCAGGUAAAGCGAAUGAUUAGAGGUAUUGGGGUUGAAAUGACCUCAACCUAUUCUCAAACUUUAAAUGGGUAAGAGGUGUAGCUUGCUUCAGUGAAGUUGCACAGAUUUAUUUCUCGUUUUGGAAUACAGGGGCUCUUAGUGGGCCAUUUUUGGUAAGCAGAACUGGCGAUGCGGGAUGAACCGAACGCCGGGUUAAGGUGCCCAAGUCAACGCUCAUGAGAUCCCAGGAAAGGUGUUGGUUGAUACAGACAGCAGGACGGUGGCCAUGGAAGUCGGAAUCCGCUAAGGAGUGUGUAACAACUCACCUGCCGAAUCAACUAGCCCUGAAAAUGGAUGGCGCUCAAGCGUUGCACCUAUCCCCGGCCGCCGUGUGGAGAUAGCCAGUGCUGGUGACACGGCGUGUAGGAGGGCGCAGGGCUGUGUGUUGGUAUGCUGUGCAGGCUGGUGCGUGAGCCCGGCUGAAGCUGGCCCUGGUGCAGAUCUUGGUGGUAGUAGCAAUUAUUCAAAUGAGAACUUUGAAGGCCGAAGUGGAGAAGGGUUCCACGUGAACAGCAUUUGGACGUGGGUGAGUCGGUCCUAAGAGAUGGGCGAAAGCCUGGUUAGUAAGGGUGCAGAUGUGCUGCCUCUUAGGGGGUAGUAUGUCCGGUUGGUUCUUCGGGGCCACGGUGGCACCAGCUCUCGAAAGGGUAUCGGGUUAAUAUUCCCGAACCAGACACCUGGAUGCUGCUCGUUACUUGCCUGUCCUUCACGGGGUGGGCGGUGCGAGUGGAGCACGGCAACGUAUAUGUGUGUGUAUACUCGGCGACGCUUGCGAUAGCCCUGGGAAGAGUUGUCUUUUCUUCUUAACCGUACCAACCGUGUGCACAGCCCUGGAAGCAGUUUACCUUGAGAGAGGGCUGGAGGUCGGGUAAAGCGCUGCACUUAUUGCAGCGUCCAGUGCGCUGUCGAGAGCCCCUGAAAAGCCGAGUCAGGACUGGACCAUGUUAGUCUCGUGUCUGGCCGUACCCAUCACCGCAUCAGGUCUCCAAGGU
rnacentral:rRNA from 1 species